rnacentral:rRNA from 1 species
AGAUUGAACGCUGGCGGCAUGCCUAACACAUGCAAGUCGAACGGGAGUAGCAAUACUCUAGUGGCGGACGGGUGAGGAAUACGUAGGAAUUUGCCCUUAAGUGGGGGAUAACCCGGGGAAACCCGGAUUAAUACCGCAUGACCUCGAAAGAGCAAAGUGGGGGAUCGCAAGACCUCACGCUUUUGGAGAAGCCUACGUCGGAUUAGCUAGUUGGUGAGGUAAUGGCUCACCAAGGCGACGAUCCGUAACUGGUCUGAGAGGAUGAUCAGUCACACCGGAACUGAGACACGGUCCGGACUCCUACGGGAGCAGCAGUGGGGAAUAGUUGGACAAGUGGGCGCAAGCCUGAUCCAGCAAUGCCGCGUGUGUAGAAGAAGGCCGUUCGGGUUAGUAA